UCUUGUAGCUGAUAAACACCAUAAGAAUCCAUUAAAUGGAUAAAGAAUUGUGUCGGAGAUUAAGUGCGGUCGGCCAUUUCCAGUGAUGCUGAUGGAUUCUUCUGUACUAAAUAUGUAAUUGUCUUCAAAUAAAUAUUGCAAACUAA